CUCCUGUUAACCAUGGACUCACCAUGGACUGCUAUCCCUCCUGUUAACCAUGGACUCACCAUGGACUGCUAUCCCUCCUGUUAACCAUGGACUCACCAUGGACUGCUAUCCCUCCUGUUAACCAUGGACUCACCAUGGACUGCUAUCAAGUUUGCCUUACAAAACCUCUCUGAAAUGAUGUAUAGUUGUUUUUUUGUACUCUAUAUUUUGUUUGUAGCGCAUAGCCGAUUUUUACAUUUUGGGAAUGUGUCCGUUUUUGUCCAUCGAAACAGUCUACCUUAAUAACACCCCAUUCUGUUACCUAGACUCACAAGUGCCCUAGAAAUCCCUGUUUGUCUACGAAAAAAGGAAUUGUCUUUGAUUCUCAGUGGAGAUGGUAUUUGUGUGAUGCUCAGCACAAAGAGGAACAAGUUUUUUUUAAAUUUUUUUAAGAGGAUUAGAUCCUUUAUAAUUUAUCCUUUUUUAUGAAGGUAGAAUUGUAAUUCUGGAUAGCAUCUAAUGCAUUUACUAAUGUAUCAAUUAGACACCAUUUUUGGUUGAUGUCUCACAUGCAACAUCUGAAAUGUUAUUAUCAGUAUGGUAUGGAAAUGCAUCUGUGUAGAAUUUUUUUGUUGUUGUAAAGGACUAAGGACGAUAAUACCUUACAAUGGCUCAAAUGGCAAAGAUGGACAACUUUCUCAAAAUGCUUCAGUUUGUAGGAAUGAGAGACAUGGGCGCUUUGGCCAGUGGAUGGAGUGAAAUGGAUAGCAUUAGAUAAUUGUGAAUGUGCAUGGUGGAAGACUGAUCAAGUUGUAUUUUGAAAAAGCAGUAUGGGUAGUAGGGUAGAAGAUGGUAAAAUUGCACAGAAGUAGUUGAGUCAGCGUACUGUUAACUGAGUUACAGGAGAAGUUGGAAAGAACUAUUGAAAACUUUGGAAGGAAACAGAUUCAGCACAUCUUCAUUUCAUUCCUUUUUGUUUGUUAUGUAUAGAUUAAGAGUACUUAUGGAUGUUGGGCAACUGACAAAAUGUUGCCAUCAGAUAUGUGAGUGGGAAGAGAGACUAAGUAGGGUCGCGUUGAAAUUGGAGAAUAGGAAGAACAUACACUAUUGAUAUAGUGGCCAAAUGUAGCUGCCUUUAUCUUGAUGAGACACUAUGGUCCUUCUAGUGAGAAAGCAUUCAUAUGGUAUCGAACACUUAUGUCAUGCUCAUUCAAUAACCUCUAAAUUAGGUGUGGAAGGGAUAGAAGUUUGAAACAAAGAGCAUGUUGGUUUCUUUUAGUUAUGCCAGUGAUCACCAUGGUGAUGCUGUCUGUAACACAGUCCUCUGGGAUAUCUCCCACUUACCUCUAGGACAUCGAUGUCCUUCAUUACUUGAAAACGCAUUGGAUUAAGGCAAUAGCUAGGCAGUUACCUUUUUUAAAAGUUUUUUAUUCCCAUUUUGAAAGGAUUCUUUCAAAUCAAGAGAACACCGUGAACAUUUCCUCUUCUCCAAGCAUAAUAUAAACUGCAGAAUUAGAGCUUUCUUUGUUAUUAGAAUUUGUUGAAAAUAAAUGGCUACAAUUUUCUCAAAAAAAGUAAGCAUGUAAAAAAGCGGUACAUCAUAUUAAAUGGAUUAAACAAGAUUCAUUCAUCUCAUGACGUUUAUAGUCAUAAAUUACAUUUGAUCACCAAAACAAACACCUCUUGAAAUUGACAGAAUUAUGUCAUCUUCAAUGUCCAGAUUCAUGCGUGAAGCACACUAUUAAGUUCUUCCAUGAUUCCAACUGCUGCAUGUCCGUCCUAUCUCUAUGUAGACAAAAUGUUUCUUAGAGAAGAUAGCAUGUCUGACCAUGUUAAGAUUCUUGAUUUUUAUAGCUUCUAGGCUAUGUUUAUGGCUUCAUUAUUCAUUUGUUUAUGUUGUACAACUACUACUACGUUGACAAGAUUUACAUGCUUAUUCAAAUUCUUGAACCAAACUGUCGGUCCCACUUUUCUGCUAUUCGACCCUCAGGUUGUGUGGCCCAUGUUGUCUGGUCCUGACUUGUUUGAUUACGUUUGUCACUCUUGUGCCUCUGAAGUUAGUUAAGGCUUAGUAACUUGUUCAAAACAAAGCAAACUGAUAUGGGUUGACUUUAUUCUCUAACAGUAUUUGGCUUCUUUGAAAUACUUCAGAGACAAUGUAGACCCACCAAUUGCUUUCUUUUGUCUGUCUUCUCUUCCUCUUCAAGGACAGUUACUGAGUUGACCCUCCAAAAAGACUAUAGAGGGAUGCACUGGUGUUGUCUCCUUAGUGGAUAGUAAUGUCCACACUAUUUUUGUCUGCCUUCAUGUAUUACUUGAUUAGCCGUUAUCAGACAUUGAACAGCUUACCUCAAGAUGUUAUGUCUCGCAAUGAUUUUUACCCAAACCAGUGCAUUUUAUUGAUAUAUUGGACCUCAUUGGAGAGUAAAUGUGAUACAUAUUAUGCAACUAUUUUUGUCACUUUUUUUUCUUCUUCUUUGAUUUGAUGGUUUUAUGACUCGACUGCUUCUUGACAGCCACCCAUUGGAUGGGGCAAUGCAAGUAGGAAUCCUGGGUGGCGCACUGGUCUAAGGCACUACAGACCCGGGUUCGAUCCUGGGUCUGUAUCACAAACUGCCAUGAUUGGGAGUCCCACAAGGCGGCGCACAAUUGGCCCAGUUUUGUCCGGGUUAGGGGAGGGUUUGGCCGGGGUAGCCCGUCAUUGUAAAAUAAGAAUUUGUUCUUAACUGACUUGCCUGGGUAAAUAAAGGUUAAAUUAGGAUAUUGAAUCAUGGUAUUUCCAUUAAAGAAAUGCCUCGAUAGGCAACCAAAGGAGAGAAAUGUCUUGGACCGGAAGUUGUUUUAGAUCCACAUCAUAAAGUAACUUAUUUAUGAGACUUCUGUGUAUUUCUUCAUAUACUGUAUGUCACAUGGCUGGUCAAAAUUGUUAUAGUUAAAGAAUGUUACCUUGUAAACUGCGAAACUCAGCUCCUCUAUUACCACCAAAUACAAUCCUGACUGACACUUUGUCGUGAUACAGACGGGCAUACUAAACUGUGUCCUUACAAAACCAUUGAGCGAAAACCAAGUCCUUGAAAAAAAACGGUAUGUUGAUUUGAUCGGGAUGUAGUUUUAGUUGUCGUCUGUAUAACCCCCCCUUCUACAAAAUGAACAGAUUUAAGAUAAUCACGAAUUAAAAGUUGUGGCUUAGGCAUUUUAUAGGCUAGUUUGUAUGCAACCCCUUUAGUUGUGUGUGUGUGUGUGUAUAUAGCUUGUUCUCUGUACUGCAACAUGUCCUAAGAAUAGGUGGUGGAAGAAGAUUGUAUUUUGUGGACAAGGAUUGCUAUGCCAUAAAACUUAACAAUGUUUUGAUUACUUUUAUAGUACAGUGAGUAGGCAUAGAGUUCUGUGUUUUUAAGUGUGUUCGUGUGUGAUGAUUUGGGCAGUUAGCUGUCAUGUCUUCAUUAGUGAGUAUGAGGUCAAGAGUGUGCGACGGUAAUAUGAACCGCUAUCAGAAAAAGGGCAAAGAAAAAGUGUGUAUUCAUUCCUGUCUAUUGUAUUUCUUUACCCACUUCCUGGUUCAUAAAUGCCGUAAAGAAUAUUGUUUCUUUUUUUUCUUAUUAACGUGAAAUACAUUUCCUUUGAAACACAAGUGAUGUACGUAAGAUUCUGGUGCAAUGGCCUGUAACAGUUUUUGGUUGACUCCUUUUAAAUUUGAUUGUUCAUUUGAGCAUAUUUGAAAAUAAAUGAUAACGUAAGGUUAGGCUUACUGCUUUCUAGUACAGUAUCCUAUGUGCUAUGUGGGGUAGCCUAAUAUGCAUUAACAGACCUUUUGAAUGACAUUUAAAGCACUGGUGUAAUUGAACGCUUGACGUUGGUGGUUGGUAGUCCUUUUAUUUUGGUUCUGGAUAUAUUAGCGUCUUAUUCAGGAGGGCGUCUCGGUUUGAUUCAAAAUCAUUGGACAUUGCUUUGUAUUACGCUAGGAUUUGUUUACUCCAAUAGACCAGCCAAGCAAAAUGUAACACAAGCCCGGUCUACGGGCUACAACCUUGAAUUAUUAUGUGCUUUGACUGUCCAUAUUGCCUCUGCUAGAAUUUCAUUGGCUUCUUGUUUCGCUGCAAUUUUUUUUCACCGUCUUGGAAGUUUCGGGUUAAAGUUAGUAAUUGGUCAAAAAGUUGAAUGUUAGGCAGAUAUUUUAACCACUAAUAGUCCCUAUCUGGUUGUAGUCCGUAGAAGGGAUAAAAUAUGCCAAGCCGAUGACUUCCCAUGUGACUUCAGCAUGAACUGUAGGUGAUCAUGAAAGUGUUAUUGUGCUUCAUUUAGGCCAAACUAUAAAUUAGGAGGUUGAAAGUGUGGAAGUGCAUGAAAUGCUUUCUCUUUGGCACCUUAGGCUCUGUUUUGAAGUACUGCUGCCUGGUGAAGAGCUUGAGCAUGCCUGCAUUCAGUAUUUUCUAGAGCGUUCAGUAAACAUUUCUUAUAAGUUUUAUUAGCGUGUGAUUUUUGAAUCCAUAUUACCUCAAAAAUAUAUCAGUUACAAUUAAUACAUUUAAAUUAAAACAAAUGGUCUCAC
rnacentral:lncRNA from 1 species